rnacentral:rRNA from 1 species
CUUAACCAUUAAACUGCUUGGGAAACUGAUAGUCUAGAGUGAGGGAGAGGCAGAUGGAAUUGGUGGUGUAGGGGUAAAAUCCGUAGAUAUCACCAAGAAUACCCAUUGCGAAGGCGAUCUGCUGGAACUCAACUGACGCUAAGGCGCGAAAGCGUGGGGAGCAAACAGGAUUAGAUACCCUGGUAGUCCACGCCCUAAACGAUGUACACUAGUUGUUGGGAUGCUAGUCAUCUCAGUAAUGCAGCUAACGCAUUAAGUGUACCGCCUGGGGAGUACGGUCGCAAGAUUAAAACUCAAAGGAAUAGACGGGGACCCGCACAAGCGGUGGAGCAUGUGGUUUAAUUCGAAGAUACGCGAAGAACCUUACCUGGGCUUGAUAUCCUAAGAACCUUAUAGAGAUAUGAGGGUGCUAGCUUGCUAGAACUUAGAGACAGGUGCUGCACGGCUGUCGUCAGCUCGUGUCGUGAGAUGUUGGGUUAAGUCCCGCAACGAGCGCAACCCACGUAUUUAGUUGCUAACGGUUCGGCCGAGCACUCUAAAUAGACUGCCUUCGUAAGGAGGAGGAAGGUGUGGACGACGUCAAGUCAUCAUGGCCCUUAUGCCCAGGGCGACACACGUGCUACAAUGGCAUAUACAAUGAGACGCAAUACCGCGAGGUGGAGCAAAUCUAUAAAAUAUGUCCCAGUUCGGAUUGUUCUCUGCAACUCGAGAGCAUGAAGCCGGAAUCGCUAGUAAUCGUAGAUCAGCCAUGCUACGGUGAAUACGUUCCCGGGUCUUGUACUCACCGCCCGUCACACCAUGGGAGUUGAUUUCACUCGAAGCCGGAAUACUAA